AUGGACUGCACCAGUACCCGCCAUAGGCAGAGAGCAGUUACAGAGUGAGACGAGCGCAUUAUACCUUCCAAUACACCUGUAAUCACCUGCAAGAUCACGCUGCGGAGCAAGGCUUUUCCAGCUUCCUUAACCUCUGCAAGCCAGACCCUCAUCUGGAGUAACUUGGCAGUACUCCACAGAGUCAACGGAGCGCAGCCAAACUGCAGCAGCCGAGAGCUGGGCCCUGCAUCUUGAAAGCAAAUUCAUUCACCAGCUAGCUGUGAGAGGUCACUCUGCCCUUGGACUUGCUGCCAUACGGAUGACAUCAAGCUGGCCAGACUCCAGCUAGGACAAAAAUUGUUGCUUGAGAGCUGUUUUCUAAAGCACCUUGUAAGAUACGGGAUGUUAUGCCUUCCCCUGACACUGAGGCUUGGACAUGACAGAUGGAAAGCUACGGUUAAUGUCCCCUGUGGGAGAUGAUGCUUUUGGGAUCUUGGGGUAACUUGGGCACCACCCAGCAUGGCUGAGGCAUAGGCAAGAACUGUCAGCCAGGCUAUGGUCAUUAACCACCUAUGGCCAGCAAGUCCCUUUGUGAGGACAGCUUCAUUUUCUGUAACAUGGGAAGGUUCAAAAUUCAUCAGUUUUUAAAAGAAAUUUUGCUCCAAAAUGAGAAGCUGAACAACUUUAUCUAAAAAAAAGGGUAGGAGUGAGAAGUCCCAGCGUUUGCUUCUCCAUUGCUCCCUGUGGGGUUCACCUCUUCAGCCUUCUCUCCGCUAUUGGCAAUAAGGAGCUGUCAGAUGAGUGAUUUGGUGCCUUUCGAGCAGCUCUGCCGCACUGAAGAGUGUCUAUGUGGUAACACAAGGCUGUGCCUGCGGAGCUGGUCAUGCCUGAGCUAUGGCUGGAGCUGCAGCAUCUGCUCAGGCCCAAACAAC